GGUCCGUUAGCUCAGUUGGCUAGAGCGGCCGCCUUACACGCGGCAGGUCACUGGUUCGAGCCCAGUACGGACCA
rnacentral:tRNA from 1 species